GACGAACCACACAAACGUUAUUCGGAAUUACUGGGCUUAAAGGGUGCGUAGGCGGCGCGGAAAGUAGGGUGUGAAAUCCCUCGGCUCAACCGAGGAAUUGCGCCCUAAACUACCGUGCUCGAGGGAGAUAGAGGUGAGCGGAACUUAGGGUGGAGCGGUGAAAUGCGUUGAUAUCCUAAGGAACACCGGUGGCGAAAGCGGCUACACUGGAUCUCUUCUGACGCUGAGGCACGAAAGCUAGGGUAGCGAAC
rnacentral:rRNA from 1 species